UCUUUUUUUUUCUUCUCCAGUUUCUUUCUUCUCUUCUCUAUUCGAUCCAUCAAACCAUCACCGAUGUCUUCCACUCCAAAAAAAAUGCCUAAAAUCCAAGCCCAAACAUUCUCCUUCUUGACUAACCAAUUCCACACUCAAUCAUGAAGCCACCGGGAAAUUUCCUCCCUUCAAAAGAAGAGUUCUUGAGGCUCCUUUGGAUGCUUGACAUCGCACGCUUGCAAUUUCCUGGUCUCCUUCAACCCCACUCAGAAACCCUUCUGCGAUAGCGGUUCAGACUCCCUUGGUUCUCUCUCAGGUUGAGGAGUUAAUACAGGAAGAUUCUCAUGUAGAUCGGUUUCCAAAGCUGGUGAGGGGUGAGAUGAAAGUGGUGUGGGGAUGGCAAGUUAAAUGCUCUCUGAGCUCUAGGACGCGAAGAAGUCAAGGGAAGGAAUAAAGAUAACUUCUAAUCAACGACAUGGCAAGUUGAAGGCUGAGCCUAAGCCCCUGAUUUUUUUUGUUGUGGAGGCACUCUGGGAAUACUUGCAGCUCUCUCAAAGUGCUUGUAUGGACAAAACUUAUAUACCCAUCUUGAUGAGAUUUACGACCAUGAAAGGAGCGAAGGAUCAUGCAGUUUCAUGAACAAUUGAACUAGGAUUCUCAUCGGCAUGUGUCAUUGUCUGGACAGAAAUAUCAAAAUUGGACACAUUUUAAUGUGGAGAUGAACCAUGGACUGUAAUGGCUAGAAAAGCAUGGAGUAACAACAAACGACUUUGUUUCUUUGUGUUGUAAUGAUACUGAUCAGUACUUGAAUCCUGGGAAGCACGGACACUUGCAUUGAUACUUGAUAGCCAAUGCAAGUGUCCGACACUCGCUUUUGCACGACACUUGCCCGACGCGUGUCGGUCUUGUGUCACCAUGUCAUGCAAUUCCUUUUUUAUUUAAUAUUUAAAAAUUAUUGUCGGACACGCGGUGCAUGCGUGUCCGACAUUUCAAAACAAA